AUGAAAAAGCCGGGCGAAAAAACCAAACCAAGAGCAUGGUUUUUUUUCCUUUUCGAAAGAGGCACGCCCGUGCCUUUCGCGAAUCACACUAGUGCCUCUUGUGGAAGCAAAACCGUGACUCCCGUGGAAGGAAAAAAAACUAGAAAACACAUUUUUUCGUUUCUGAGAGGCAUGACCAUGACUCUCGCGAAAGCACAACUGUGCCUUUCGUGGAAGCAAAACCGUGUCUCUCACGAAAGAAAAAACGCGUAUUUUUCCCCCUUUCUGAGAGGCACGGCCGUGACUCUCGCGAAAGCACAACUGUGCCUCUCGCGGAAGCAAAACCGUGACUCGCGAAAGAAAAAAAAAACAAAAAACGCGUUUUGUUUUUCCCUUUUCGAGAGACACGUCCGUGACUCUCGCGAAAGCACAACCAUGCCUCUCGCAGAAGCAAAACCGUGA
rnacentral:rRNA from 1 species